UAGUCCACGCCGUAAACGAUGAGAACUAGAUGUCGGGAGGGUUUUGCCUCUCGGUGUCGCAGCUAACGCGUUAAGUUCUCCGCCUGGGGAGUACGGUGGCAACACUAAAACUCAAAGGAAUUGACGGGACCCGCACAAGCGGUGGAGCAUGUGGUUUAAUUCGAUGCAACGCGAAGAACCUUACCUGCCCUUGACAUUGACAGAACCCUUUAGAGAUAGAGGGGUGCUUCGGCCUGGAAAACAGGUGCUGCAUGGCUGUCGUCAGCUCGUGUCGUGAGAUGUUGGGUUAAGUCCCGCAACGAGCGCAACCCUUGUCCCUAGUUGCCAGCACAUAAUGGUGGGAACUCUAGGGAGACUGCCGGUGACAAACCGGAGGAAGGUGGGGAUGACGUCAAGUCAUCAUGGGCCCUUACGGGGUAGGGGCUACACACGUGCUACAAUGGGUCAGGUACAGAGGGGUUGCGAAGCCGCGAGGGUGGAGCUAAUCUCACAAAACUG
rnacentral:rRNA from 1 species